CCAAUGGCGCGCGUGGUGACAGCUGAGGACAAGGGCAGCCCACAGCGACACUUCCAAAGGCUCCAAUAGGAGAAAAGAAGCUGGCACACCAGGGUGCUGAAGACAUUUCAGCACCCCUUCUCAUACACAGAGUCAAGGAGCCAGACAGAGUCCGUUGAGGACUCUGGGGGAACUACCACCGGAUUCCAGCUUCAUCUCCAACACAAAAAAGUCAACCUAAUAUUCAGUGACAGAUCUUUACAGCCUAGUCCACCCUGGCCACCUCCAAGCCGACAGCCCAGACCCGGCAGGUAAGGCCUGAGCCACACUGCCAACCUCCAGCUGAGGUGUGCAGAAAGGGGCACAGCUUGGCCUGCAGGGCCUGCCACACUCUGCCUGCCUGGCCCCAUCCAUCAGCCUGUGAAUGCGGGGUGGGGAGGGUGUCUCAUUUUCCAGCAUGGCUUUAGGGACAUUUUCUAAAUGUGACCCUGUUUCUGUUAUGAGACUCAAAGUGCUCCAGCCGCAAGAUCAUAAAUACUCAAAAGUGACUGCUAAUGGCUAUGGCGGCUUGUAGGAUGCCAAAUGGCAGCGAAGAGUGGCGACCGUAAAUUACAUGCAGCUUCCCUCCUCCCUCUCCAGCUCACUGAGGUGUUUGGUGGGUUGGCAGUGGUAAGACGGGCUUUCCGGAGGAUUUCGGGGGGCUUCCUGUGAACUCAGGAAGAGCUGUGCAAAGUCCUUCCAACAGACGCUAAAGGAAAACCGAAGACGACUGGGAUUUCCAUACGGAAUCAAUUUAUUAAAGAUACGUUUAAUUAGCUGGGCAGAGUGGUACACUCAAGGAUCGUCAAGGGUUGGAAGCCAGCCUGGACUACACUUCAAGACCUUGUCUUAGAUGGAAAUAAAGUGAGAUGCCUCAGUAGACCGUGGCCUGGAGAUCCUGCUGCUGUAACUCCCGCGCCGUGAUGACUGUGAGCUGCCCUAGCUGCUUUCCGCCAGGGUGUGCUGUCGCUGGGAACGGGAAGGCCACGAGCACACCACGGAAAGGCAGGAGAAGACAACUCCACAAAGAUGCCUCUGACCUUCACACGGCACCAUGGCACCUGCACUCCCACAGACACACACCACACACAACAGUAAAAACUAAACAACACCAACAACUAAAACUUUUAAGGUUGUAGCCAUGUUUACAAUAUAAUUGCAAAAAUACACAAAGUGGCCCAACAAAAAUGAAUA